rnacentral:rRNA from 1 species
AUACGUAGGGUGCAAGCGUUAAUCGGAAUUACUGGGCGUAAAGCGUGCGCAGGCGGUUUUGUAAGACAGUGGUGAAAUCCCCGGGCUCAACCUGGGAACUGCCAUUGUGACUGCAAGGCUGGAGUGCGGCAGAGGGGGAUGGAAUUCCGCGUGUAGCAGUGAAAUGCGUAGAUAUGCGGAGGAACACCGAUGGCGAAGGCAAUCCCCUGGGCCUGCACUGACGCUCAUGCACGAAAGCGUGGGGAGCAAACAGGAUUAGAUACCCAGGUAGUCCACGCCCUAAACGAUGUCAACUGGUUGUUGGGGAUUUAUUUUCUCAGUAACGAAGCUAACGCGUGAAGUUGACCGCCUGGGGAGUACGGCCGCAAGGUUAAAACUCAAAUGAAUUGACGGGG